CCAGUCCUUCGGGACUGGGGAAAGCGGCGAACGGGUGAGUAACACGUGGGUAAUCUGCCCUCGGCACUGGGAUAGCCCGGGGAAACCCGGAUUAAUACCGGAUAGCCUUUCGAGCCUUCGGGCUCGUCAGAAAAGGUGGCUUCGGCUUCCGGCUGAGGAUGAGCCCGCGGCGGAUUAGCUUGUUGGUGAGGUAAUGGCUCACCAAGGCUCCGAUCUGUAGCUGGUCUGAGAGGACGAUCAGCCACACUGGGACUGAGACACGGCCCAGACUCCUACGGGAGGCAGCAGUAGGGAAUCUUGCGCAAUGGGCGAAAGCCUGACGCAGCGACGCCGCGUGCGGGAAGAAGGCCUUCGGGUUGUAAACCGCUUUCAGGAGGGACGAAGCCACUCGGGUUAAUAGCCCAGAGGGUGACGGUACCUCCAGAAGAAGCCCCGGCUAACUACGUGCCAGCAGCCGCGGUAAUACGUAGGGGGCAAGCGUUGUCCGGAUUUAUUGGGCGUAAAGAGCGUGUAGGCGGCCAGAUAGGUCAGCUGUGAAAACUCGAGGCUCAACCUCGAGAUGUCGGCUGAAACCAUCUGGCUAGAGUCCGGAAGAGGAGAAUGGAAUUCCCGGUGUAGCGGUGAAAUGCGCAGAUAUCGGGAAGAACACCCGUGGCGAAGGCGGUUCUCUGGGACGGUACUGACGCUGAGACGCGAAAGCGUGGGGAGCGAACAGGAUUAGAUACCCUGGUAGUCCACGCCGUAAACGAUGGGAACUAGGUGUGGGCGGUGUC
rnacentral:rRNA from 1 species